CUGGCGCGGUGCUGCGCUCUUGGGGAGUUUCUGAAGAAUUCACAGUUCUGAGUGUUGGACCCAGGGUGGCUCAAGCCCCCGCCGUGCCUUGGCCGACCUUGGGGCCUGAAAUGUGAGUGGAUCGCAGGCUGGCUGGGAAACCGGGGUGUGGGCGGAAACUGGAGCUGGGCGGUGAGCCCCGAGGCUCCACUCACUGCUCAGGUUCCUCCGGUCUGGGGUGACUGUGCCCGGGGGUCACGAUCGCCUUGUCAGACAACAAAAAAUGAAUGGAUCGCUGGGCUUGGUAUCAUUUGAGGAUGUGUGUGUGGACUUCAGCUGGGAG